CGGGGUGUAGCUCAGUUUGGCUAGAGUGUGUGGUUUGGGACCACAAGGUCGCUGGUUCGAAUCUAGUCACCCCGA
rnacentral:tRNA from 1 species